UAUCUCGUCAGGCCCAAAAAAAAAGCAAAGCCACACUUGCGCGGUAGGGGGAAAGAAGUGGAUGCGAUCGGGACAGUAGGGGAAGGGAAAGAGACGAGGUUUUUCAACAUAAAUGGAGGUUCAUCCGUAGCGGGAGAGAAGAGCAGCUGCAAAAAAAAAAAAUACAAGCAAAAUGGCGAAAGAGCAAGAGGUCGAACGCAUUGCUAAAACGCUGGACAAAAUGGUGCACAAGAAAAACACGGAUGGUGCCAUACAUCUGCUGAGGGAACUGAGAG